CUCUGGGCAGUUGCUGCCUCUUCCCACGCUCGGAGUUUAGUUUGAUGGCAGCUAGUUGUUUAGUUCCAUCGGUAACAAGUUCGCACGUGUGUUUGUUAAAGCUUUUUGAAAGCCGCUACUAAUAUUGGGGAAAAGUUGGUUCAGCAAAUCAGAAUAUUGGAAGCCAGACCUUUGAGACGUCUGGGAGGUCCUAGAAAUCACAUCAAGUCUCCAGUCCAGGACACAGCUGCCUAGGGGAAUCCCAGGGACAGGCGGCAGAGAUUGCAUGGCCUGCAAGGUGAUGGACUCCAAUGUGAUCACUGCAGAAUUCGCCAAAUUCCAAACCACUGGCAGUUGGAACGCACAAGCCCCCUACUGGCGAGGAGGCAAGGGAAGCAAGCUGGGAGGAGGCCCAUUACUUGGCUAGAGAGAGAUGGACCACCUUCUCAGGUCUUCUGGAAGUUGCUGAAACAUGGUGAGGAAGGAAUGUCAUCACUCAUAGGAUGGAAUCAAGAAACUCUUAGAAUGGAACUAAGCCUGAAGUACUUCAAGCCCUGGGACCCCCCUUUGGGGUCGUACUGCUCUCUCUCUCUCUCUCUCUCUCUCUCUCUCUCGUAUUUCUCUUUACUUAGUGCAGAGAAUUGUACACAGGAACUGAUUUAACAGGUAUAAUUUUGGUUAAUAAAAAAUAAUAUAAGAACUGACUCAAAAGAAGUUCAAGGACAUUUAUUAUUAGCAUUAAACACACACACACACACACACACACACACACACACACACACACACGAGAAGGCAAAAUGUAAAUCUCAGCAUCUGCCCAGAGGUGGAAGAUGGAGGAGAAAAUGCAGUCAUGCAGCUUAAGUUAAGGCAACAAGAAGGUCAACCAUAUGGCAAACAGGCAGGUGCAUGGAGGCGGUGGGGGGAGGCUUUAAAGAAAGUGUGAAGGCUGAGUGUUCAGGAAAAUGGCCCAGGAAGGAGAUGGAGGGAAAAAAAAAGAGUUCUGAGUGGUUGAGAAAGGCAGGCACUCUUUCAAAGUUGCUUGGCCACACCUUUGUGAGGGACUUCACUAGAGUGUGGGAUCCUGGAGAAGAAAAGUACAUUAUCUCAUUAAAAAGAUAAUUAUUCUUCUCAUCUCUGUUAGAGUCAAGGUGGUCCCACCUUCCGGAGGAAUGGUCCUGUAGCUUGGUGAUUCAGCUGGGAUGCUGGGUACCCACAAGCCCACUCUCCUUGGUGAUUGACCAGCUCAGCUGGGAUGCUGGGUACCCACCAACCCACUCUCUUCAUCUGAAGGACACAGUUUUUCCUCAAUUGGCCUCUACUGCCACUGUAACAAACAGAUUCUGUUCCCAGAGGUCUCCUGAACUGAGGUCUCAGGCUAGGUGGUCAAUGGGGCCAUGUUAUUGGACUAGUAGAGUUCUUACCUUUUCGUUAAAAAUUCAUGUCUUUUCUGUUUUUUCAAGUUUGGAUUCAGGUGAUGGCACACAGGAGUCCCAUUGCUUAGCUACCAAAGACUUCUUUAACUGUGGUGCCAGCUACAGCUGAAACACAGUCAGGCACGUAUUCCACCCGGGGCUCCCGUGAGUCGUUUCAGAUGAAUGUUGAACUACAAAGAACCAUACACCUCACAGUUUGAGAUUUAGGUUUUCUCUGAUCCUGUAGUUAGAAAAGUAGACAAUGUUUUAAAUAUCAAAGGUGGCUUUCAGUUGCUUCAAAUCUUUGGGACAAUUUUAGGUGGUUCGGCACUGCUGUUUUCUAAGGUCAGGUAGGAGUAGGGGACCAACGACAUUACCAACUGCGUUGUUCAGGCCUCUGUAGGUCUGCCGACUUGAGAAGAGCUGAAGAAAGACAGCAUGCUUCUGUAGGGGGGUUUGCAGGUGGGAUGUUUCUGUGUCUGCCCUGUAACUAUGUCUACCUUACAA